rnacentral:rRNA from 1 species
GAUGAACGCUGGCGGCGUGCUUAACACAUGCAAGUCGAACGGAAAGGCCCAAGCUUGCUUGGGUACUCGAGUGGCGAACGGGUGAGUAACACGUGGGUGAUCUGCCCUGCACUUCGGGAUAAGCCUGGGAAACUGGGUCUAAUACAGGAUAGGACGAUGGUUUGGAUGCCAUUGUGGAAAGUUUUUUGGGUGUGGGAUGAGCUAGUGGCCUAUCAGCUUGUUGGUGGGGUAAUGGCCCACCAAGGCGUCGACGGGUAGCCGGUCUGAGAGGGUGUACGGCGACAUUGGGACUGAGAUACGGCCCAGACUCCUACGGGAGGCAGCAGUGGGGAAUAUUGCACAAUGGGCGCAAGCCUGAUGCAGCGACGCCGCGUGGGGGAUGACGGCCUUCGGGUUGUAAACUCCUUUCGCUAGGGACGAAGCGUUUUGUGACGGUACCUGGAGAAGAAGCACCGGCUAACUACGUG